rnacentral:rRNA from 1 species
CCUACGGGAGGCAGCAGUGGGGAAUUUUGCGCAAUGGGCGAAAGCCUGACGCAGCAACGCCGCGUGCGGGAAGAAGGCCCUCGGGUUGUAAACCGCUUUCAGCAGGAACGCGGUACCUGCAGAAGAAGCCCCGGCCAACUACGUGCCAGCAGCCGCGGUGAUACGUAGGGGGCGAGCGUUGUCCGGAUUUAUUGGGCGUAAAGAGCUCGUAGGCGGUUCGGUAAGUCAGAUGUAAAAACUCCAGGCUCAACUUGGAGAGGCCAUCUGAUACUGCCGGACUAGAGUCCGGUAGAGGAGCACGGAAUUCCUGGUGUAGCGGUGAAAUGCGCAGAUAUCAGGAGGAACACCAGCGGCGAAGGCGGUGCUCUGGGCCGGACUGACGCUGAGGAGCGAAAGCGUGGGGAGCGAACAGGAUUAGAUACCCUUGUAGUC